UGGGGAAUAUUGGACAAUGGGCGAAAGCCUGAUCCAGCCAUGCCGCGUGUGUGAAGAAGGUCUUCGGAUUGUAAAGCACUUUAAGUUGGGAGGAAGGGCAGUAAGCGAAUACCUUGCUGUUUUGACGUUACCGACAGAAUAAGCACCGGCUAACUCUGUGCCAGCAGCCGCGGUAAUACAGAGGGUGCGAGCGUUAAUCGGAUUUACUGGGCGUAAAGCGUGCGUAGGCGGCUAAUUGAGUCGGAUGUGAAAUCCCCGAGCUUAACUUGGGAAUUGCAUUCGAUACUGGUUAGCUAGAGUGUGGGAGAGGAUGGUAGAAUUCCAGGUGUAGCGGUGAAAUGCGUAGAGAUCUGGAGGAAUACCGAUGGCGAAGGCAGCCAUCUGGCCUAACACUGACGCUGAGGUACGAAAGUAUGGGGAGCAAACAGG
rnacentral:rRNA from 1 species